CAUGAACUCUGUCUUGGGAAUGGACCUUCUUGCGGCUAUUGCGGUGGCCAUAGCUCUGAUCAUCAUGGCACCCAACGAAGCUGCUGCUCUUGGAGGCUUCGUCGGAGGAACUGAUGGAAUCGGAAAAGAAGGAAGUGAACGAGCAUUCACCGUGGAUGAUGUCAGGCGUCUAGUUUUUCGAUGACAAAGCCAUUGAUCGUGCAAUAGAGUGUGCAAAUAAAA
rnacentral:lncRNA from 1 species